CCUACGGGUGGCAGCAGUGGGGAAUAUUGGACAAUGGGGGCAACCCUGAUCCAGCCAUGCCGCGUGUGUGAAGAAGGCCCUCGGGUUGUAAAGCACUUUCAGUGAGGAAGAACGCCUGGUGGUUAAUACCCAUCAGGAAAGACAUCACUCACAGAAGAAGCACCGGCUAACUCCGUGCCAGCAGCCGCGGUAAUACGGAGGGUGCGAACGUUAAUCGGAAUUACUGGGCGUAAAGCGCGCGUAGGUGGCUUGAUAAGCCGGUUGUGAAAGCCCCGGGCUCAACCUGGGAACGGCAUCCGGAACUGUCAAGCUAGAGUGCAGGAGAGGAAGGUAGAAUUCCCGGUGUAGCGGUGAAAUGCGUAGAGAUCGGGAGGAAUACCAGUGGCGAAGGCGGCCUUCUGGACUGACACUGACACUGAGGUGCGAAAGCGUGGGUAGCAAACAGGAUUAGAUACCCGGGUAGUC
rnacentral:rRNA from 1 species